rnacentral:rRNA from 2 species
UGGGGAAUUUUGGACAAUGGGCGAAAGCCUGAUCCAGCAAUGCCGCGUGCAGGAUGAAGGCCUUCGGGUUGUAAACUGCUUUUGUACGGAACGAAAAGACUCUUUCUAAUAAAGAGGGUCCAUGACGGUACCGUAAGAAUAAGCACCGGCUAACUACGUGCCAGCAGCCGCGGUAAUACGUAGGGUGCAAGCGUUAAUCGGAAUUACUGGGCGUAAAGCGUGCGCAGGCGGUUAUGUAAGACAGAUGUGAAAUCCCCGGGCUUAACCUGGGAAUUGCAUCAGUGACUGCAUAGCUUGAGUGCGGCAGAGGGGGAUGGAAUUCCGCGUGUAGCAGUGAAAUGCGUAGAUAUGCGGAGGAACACCGAUGGCGAAGGCAAUCCCCUGGGCCUGCACUGACGCUCAUGCACGAAAGCGUGGGGAGCAAACAGG